rnacentral:rRNA from 1 species
UUAGUGGCGGACGGGUGAGUAACGCGUGGGCAACCUGCCGUAUACAGGGGGAUAACAACUGGAAACAGCUGCUAACACCGCAUAAGCGCACGGUACCGCAUGGUACCGAGUGAAAAUCUCCGGAGGUAUACGAUGGGCCCGCGUCUGAUUAGCCAGUUGGUGGGGUAACGGCCUACCAAAGCGACGAUCAGUAGCCGGCCUGAGAGGGUGGACGGCCACAUUGGGACUGAGACACGGCCCAAACUCCUACGGGAGGCAGCAGUGGGGGAUAUUGCACAAUGGGGGAAACCCUGAUGCAGCGACGCCACGUGAGUGAAGAAGCAAUUCGUUGCGUAAAGCUCUAUCAGCAGGGAAGAAGAAAUGACGGUACCUGAAUAAGAAGCCCCGGCUAACUACGUGCCAGCAGCCGCGGUAAUACGUAGGGGGCAAGCGUUAUCCGGAUUUACUGGGUGUAAAGGGAGCGUAGACGGCAGUGCAAGUCCGAUGUGAAGACCCGGGGCUCAACCCUGGGAGUGCAUUGGAAACUGUACGGCUGGAGUGCAGGAGAGGUAAGCGGAAUUCCUGGUGUAGCGGUGAAAUGCGUAGAUAUCAGGAGGAACACCAGUGGCGAAGGCGGCUUACUGGACUGUAACUGACGUUGAGGCUCGAAAGCGUGGGGAGCAAACAGGAUUAGAUACCCUGGUAGUCCACGCUGUAAACGAUGAAUACUAGGUGUUGGGGGUUUACGGACGUCCGGUGCCGCAGCAAACGCAGUAAGUAUUCCACCUGGGGAGUACGUU